AGUGGGGAAUAUUGGACAAUGGGCGAAAGCCUGAUCCAGCCAUGCCGCGUGUGUGAAGAAGGCCUUCGGGUUGUAAAGCACUUUCAGUGGGGAAGAAAGCCUUGGGGCUAAUACCCUCGAGGAAGGACAUCACCCACAGAAGAAGCACCGGCUAACUCCGUGCCAGCAGCCGCGGUAAUACGGAGGGUGCGAGCGUUAAUCGGAAUUACUGGGCGUAAAGCGCGCGUAGGCGGUCUGAUAAGCCGGUUGUGAAAGCCCCGGGCUCAACCUGGGAACGGCAUCCGGAACUGUCAGGCUAGAGUGCAGGAGAGGAAGGUAGAAUUCCCGGUGUAGCGGUGAAAUGCGUAGAGAUCGGGAGGAAUACCAGUGGCGAAGGCGGCCUUCUGGACUGACACUGACGCUGAGGUGCGAAAGCGUGGGUAGCAAACAGGAUUAGAUACCCUGGUAGUCCACGCCGUAAACGAUGUCGACUAGCCGUUGGGCUCCUUGAGAGCUUUGUGGCGCAGUUAACGCGAUAAGUCGACCCCCUAAAANGNGCGGCCGCAAGGUUA
rnacentral:rRNA from 1 species